GUCGGCGCCCGCCCGUCGCGCCGCCUCACCGCCGUACCACCCGCCGCCUCCUCUGCAACCUCAGCCCACCGGGCGGACCCGGCCCAGGUCACUGGCGGCCCAGGCGCAGGCUCACACCCUAGAUUGCUGUAUCACCACAGAAGAAGAGCUCCACCUCUGAAGUUGUAAACGCAGACACCUGAUCUCUGACUGUCCCUUGGCUGUUCUUAGAAUUCUGCCCACUGUUGCCUGGCCUGUGGAAGCCUCCAGUCCACUUGUCCUUCUACUUUGUUGUUUCUUGGAAACAGUGGCCUGCUCUAAAGACUCCAUUUGCUUCAUCUUUCCUAUAUUUCAUAGUCCCUGGAAAUUCUCACUUCUGCCUCACCACAUCACUGAAACCUCCUUCAUUAAAGACAUUAAAGUUCUAGUCUUUACCUUGCUUGACCUUUCAACAGCAUUUGUCAUUGCUGUCCUGUCUUGCUUCCUCAGUCACUCUUAUUUUUAUAUGACCGCCCCCACCUGAUUUCCUCUUAUAUCUCUAGUCUCCCCACCCCUCCCCCAUGCUUCUCUGUAGCCUCUUUUCCUUGGCCAUGAGAGAAACCAAGUCACUCUCCUUGGGCAGUCUUAUCCACUGCAUGGUUCCACUUCCACAAGUGAUGCCCCUCAAAGCUUAUAUCGCCAGCCCAGCCCUUGACCCUGAGUUCCAGACCCAAAUAGCCAGCCAUAGACUUCUACAUCUCCGUCUGACAUCACCUUGCAUGCACGUGUCCACGGCUGAAUUGAUCACUCUCUCACUUCCACUCCAACUUCUCCUUCACUGUCCCCUGUCU